UAUUCUAGGAAGAUGAUUCACAUAUCACUACAUAAAUCUUUAAACUUGCCCCUCACUAAUCUCUUUUACAUGUCUUCACUUUUAGGACAAAAUUUUCUUUUGAUUUGUUUAUCAAAGAAGCAGGUGCUUAGCUAAGACAAUGGACUUCUAAGAAUUCCACUACCGACAAAAGAAGCCUUACUACAGACAAAGGCUUUGGUGCGUGCAUCUCCUUUCCUUCACGGGUUAAUUCGUCUGCAGAUUAUCGGUGGUGUCACCGAUCUUCAGAUCCAGAGUUUUUAAAAGCCGAAGAAGUGAGAUAAUGAACACUUGGUGAGUUUUAUGGCUUUGAUAAGACCAAUUUUCUUCCACAUGGCUCUCUCUCUAGGGUUUUAGGGGUUAAAAUUUUUUUUGGGCUUUAUGUAUGGCAAGUUUUUUUUUUUUUUUUUUUUUUUCUUGUUUAUGCGUGUGAUCAAUUUCUAAUGUUGUGAUAUAUCUCAGCUUCAUUUUUUUCAGCAGUUGGUGUGCUUUUCUUCUUCUUCAUCCUGUAACUUUGCUUUGUCCUUCCAAGUGAGUUUAGGUUUCUUUAGGAUUCUAUUUGCUUGAGUUCUGAGCACUUUUACCAUAUGGACUAAGAGGAAAUCGUUGCUUGCUGUCCUAGACAAGAUAAAAGAUAGUAAGAUUUCAAUUCUCCAAAUAUGGGUUUUGUCAAUUUGUUUAUGUAUUUUCUUCCAGACAAGCGGUAUGUAAUGGAUUUUAUCUGCUAGCAGAGCUUAUGCUUUUGACAUUUUUAAUUUCUGCGUAUAAGAUUGCUUUCAUGGUUUGGGUGAGACAAAGUUGGCUAAUUUGUUUUAACUCUGGCUCUGCCAAACAAACGAUCCCCAAUCUCAAUUGCUUCUUUGCCCCCUCCUCUUCCUUAACAACAAAAAAAUCUUACCUGUGUUUGGGUUUAUUAAUUUUCUUAUUUCUGCUGUUUUCGUUGUAGCUGACGCAUUUAAUUUGUGAAGGCGAAAGGGGAGGUUUGUGGUUCUUGAUAUUAUUCCAUUUCUUAUGACUUAGAGACACAAUGUUUUAAGCAGCUUAAGUUUUCCCAUGUUAACUUAUUCAAUCUAUGUUUUUCCAUGUUAACUUAUUCCAUUGCUUAUGACGUUAUGAGGUUUCUUACUUUCUGUAACUCUCCCCAGGUAAAUAUGCAAUACUCUGAGCCCGGUAUGGUUUCUUCUUGCUCAAGAAGACAUGAUCGGCCAUGUAGGACACACUUCCUCUAGAGUCUUGGAGCAGCUAUACCGACAGAUGACUGCAACACAAUUUAGGGUUUUCUUCUCUUCUAAGGUUCUCUGAUUCCUCUACCAGAUAAGUGCCCAAAACUGUCAUAUUGCCUACUUAAUUGGAUUUUGAUGCUAUUCCUGGGGGAGUUUUGUUUUAUUUUGUAUUUCAUUUGAUGGGUUUCUUCUCUGGUUCUUAUAUUCUAGCUACGUCCUGGAUGCCAUGAGGGAUAUCAAUGAGACAAAUGUGACAUUUGGCGAUACAUCAUCGUCCUCAAAGUAAGCUCUAAUGCUAUAGCCUAAAAAAGGACCUUAUGUUUUAUAGUUGUCUGAUUCUAUUUAUCUUCUGGAAAUUAUAUGAGAAUUGAAUAGGUUGAUUCUUACUUCUUAGUUCCAAAAAAACCCAAAGGUGGGUCAUAUGAGUUAGUUACAUUGCUGUUUCAUAUCCAUGAAGAUUAAAUUCGAGGAAAAUGCAUUUUCAAUUUUAAAUUUUUUGCACCUCAUGUAGAAACGCUCUUUUAAACUAAUUUAGGAAUGUUAAAUAAUUGUGUCUGUAUAAUGCCCAUUCUAUGUGCUGUAAAAGUCAUGUUAGAUAUGAUUCCUAAUAAUCGAAUUACUCAUUGUUUUCUUUUUAAAAAGUAAGGAGACUCAUGGCUAUACUACGCGAUAGCACAAGGACUGUCUGGAGGUUUGGGCGACUUUGAGGGAUUAGUUACGCAAUAAUCAACUAUAUAUAUAUAUUUAAUUUUCUUUCUUUAAGCUUCGCUUUAUGAUUAUUGAAAUUGAUUUGUGAUUUUAUCGGUUAUUUGUUGGGAUUUGUCUGUGGAUGUUAGAUGUUCGUAUUAUUAAACGGAUGGUCAGUGCUAAGCGUUACUUUUUUUUAAAUGUUGAACACUAUUAUAAUUAAAAUUAUAAUAUGCUUUGUUCAUUUCACUGAGGUUAAAUAUGAUCAUUCAAUAAUUCCGAAAAUUAUUGCAGAUUGAUUGAGUAGCAUAAUCAUUCAAUUAGAUUACUUUCAUUUUAUUAUUUAAUAUGAUUUAGUUGUAUUCUCUGGCCAUAAAUUAUAAUACCCGCCGCAAUGCGAUAGUAAAGUUUGUAACGAGCAGGUACGCACCUAGUUUGAUACUUAUAAUCAGAUUGGGAUGCAUGGAUGCUUUUUCUUUUUAACUUAUUUGUUUUGGUGAAAAAGAAGAAUGUGCAUGGUCAUCUUAACAACACCCGAUUUUUCAUAGCGUGCUUUCUAAGUCUCUCACUGAAUUUGUUGUUGCUUUAGAUAAAUUACCUGGAGGACUUGUGUCUUUUUUGGAGUUCUUAUAUCUUUGUGUUCUAAGUCUCUCACUGAAUUUGUUGUUGCUUUAGAUAAAUUACCUGGAGGACGUGUCUUUUUUGCAGUUCUUAUAUCUUUGUUUUCUAAUCAAUUACAUUAUGGUUUUGAUGUUCUAAGAAUGUUAAUUUUCAAUUCGAGUGGUAAGGACUUGGCUAUUUCGCAUUUAACAUUGGUAGACACUGGAAUCAUGUGAGGCAGUCUUAUUAUAAAUAUAACUCACAAAGUAAAGGAGAAGCGAUAAAAACGAUUCUAAUCAUGCCUACUGCCUCUCUCUCUCUGGCUGUAUGUUAAUGAUUAAUGUCCAUAUGAUUAAUGUCAUCGAUUUGAAUUUUAUUUAAAAAAAAAUGCAUAACCAAAUCCAUAAUAACAGCAAUUAAUCUAUGGCCUAACUAAUUAACGUAAAGAAUAUGUUGAUCAUUUAUCCCAAAAGGCUUACAAAUAAUUACAUACAUAAGGUGGAACUUAAGUAAAUUAGAAAAUAAGUAAUUAGCAAAACCACAUAUAAUUAAUUUUAUAAAUGACAAUUAAGCUAUGUACAUAUUGAAGAAAAAUGAUUUUUUCAAUCUCUUAUUGUAACAAAAUUAUAUUGAUUAUUUAUAUCAUAUAAAUCCGCAAAUAAUUUCAUAUUUAGUGUGAAACUUAAGUGAAAUAAGAAAUAAAAGAAUUAAAAAAUUUAUCAGAUAUUUUUUUUUUCAAAAUAUAUGUUACAAUUGUUAAUUUUAUCGAUAUUUUAUUAUGUGCUAUGCCAAGGAACUGCAUGUAGAAAUAAUUUAUAAAUUGCUGCUUUUUCAUUAUUUGAAUAAUAUAUAUGUUGCUAAAAUUUAAAUUUUUUAAUGUUUUAAUAUAAUAUUACUUCACACCAUGUGUCGUUUAUGAAAUUGAUUUUUCCUUCUCCCCAUUUGUUUUUUAAAUUUAUUUGGAAGAUUAUUCAUAAUUUGGGAUUUGAUUGGUAAUUAAUUUAUAUUUGGAAUCUUUUUCUCAUUGUGUUUGAUUGAACUUUUACUAAGAACUAAUGUUUGUUUAUGGCUUUGGACUGUAUUGGUUAUUAUUUUGUGUUUUUAUGUUUUUGUUGCGGAUUUUGAAUGUGGGGUUUUCUCCUUAUUUUGUGGAUUAUCUUAAUCAUUGAGGUUUUCAUUGAAUUGUUAUUUUGGGCUAAUUUCUCUUAUGGUUGCGAAGUUAAAUUGUUGAUUUUUUUUUUCGUAUUACUUUUUGAAAUUUCUUUGUAGUUGUCAUCGAUUUGAAUUUGAUAUAUUUACAUAGUUCAAGAAACCACUGGUCUUAAUUAGUAUGGUAAACAGAACAUGUUGAUCAUUUAUCCCAAAAGGCUUACAAAUAAUUUCAUAUAUAAGGUGGAACUUAAGUAAAUUAGGAAAUAAAUAAUUAGCAAAACCACAUAUAAUUAAUUUUAUUAUGACAAUUAAACUAUGUACAUAUUGAAGAAAAAUGAUUUCGAUCUCUUAUAAUAACAAAGUUAUAUUGAUUAAUUAUAUCAUAUCAAACUGCAAAUAAUUUCGUAUUUAGUGCGGAACUUAAGUAAAAUAAGAAAUAAAAUAAUUAAAAAAAUUUCACUUCAUCUUUCUCUUGUGGAUUCGUAUUGUCUUCCUCUUCUUGGGUUUUUUCAUUGAAUCUUUAUGCUGUGAGUUUUUCCCCUAUUAUUUGUUGCAAUUUUUUAUAGUUGUGAUAAAUUUGAAUUUGAUUUAGGAUUCACCUUUCACUGGUAGAUGUUUAUUGUCUUCCUCCUUAAGUUUUCCACUGAAUCUUUAUGUUGAUUUGCGGAUUUUUGGAUUGAAUUUUUAUUUUCAAGUAUUUUGUUUAUUUUGUUUUGGAUUUUGCUUCAUCCAUUGAUUUUUUUAUGUUGAUUUGCAUUGUCCAUUAUUCAUUGGGAUUUAGUUUUGGUUUAAGGUUUUUUUUUUUUUCAAAUUUUCCCAUUUUUAACAUACUUUGACAUGCUCAAACCGGGUUUGAGCACUCUUUGUUAAAAAAAUAAGUAAGUUCAAGUUCGUUCAUAGUUGGCAAAUGUCGAAACGAGUGCAAGUUAAUUUAAGCUAUUGUCUUCUUUGGAUAAAGGAUUGCACGAUUUUGUCCACAAUAAAAAACACAUAAGAUGUUUAAGAGUUAGGACCAAAUUUACAAGUCACUCUCCUUCUCACUUGUGAGUUUGGAGAAUUUGUGGCAUACACAAUAACAUGCAUGUUUGAAGUUGGGCCUAAAUUUAUAAGUUACUCAUUGCCUUAACCAAGCCCUUUAUGAGUUGAAACCUUAGAUUAUCUUUUUUUUUUGGAAAAUUUUAUUAUCUUUAUGUGAUUUUAGUUGUUUGGGGUGACUUUCUGGGUUUAUAAUUUUAGUAUUUGUUGCUUAACUUGCAACUUUUUUCUUCUUGAAAUUUGACGUUUGAAAUUUAGCAGCUUGGUUUUGAGCGAGCCAUGCAAUGUGGAAUAAUUUUGUUAUUUCGUUUCUGUUUAAUUAACUUUUUUUAGAUCAUGAAGGAAACACUGAACUACUUGUCACACCUUGAUCGUGUGGACACUGAAAAACAGGUAUGGGUAUAUCUAGGAUUCUAUGACUUAUUUUCCUGUGCAUUUUAUCAACAGUUCAAUGCAAUCCCUCAUUCAGGAGAGUUUUGAUAAGUAUUUGUGUGGGUUAUGCUUUCUGAAUGAGGACUCAACUUUACGGCUGUUAUUGAUGGGUGAUUGUAAGUGUGUUGCUUUUUUAAGAGUUUGAUAUGCAUAUGAGCCAUGGGGUGGCCUGUGAUUAGUCUUUGAUGCUUUAUGCCUUCUUUUGCAAGUGGAUUGAUCUUCCGUAGAAAGCACUGUGGCUGAUAACUGGAAAGUCCAGGAGCACAUACAGAAAUAGAUAUUAUGUUUAAGUAGGAGAUGGAGGGAUAAGAGUAUUUUGCUCUUUUUAUUACUCUUGACAGUUGACUACUUUAUCUUUCCUUCAACUAACUUUAUUGUGUUUUUUGUUCUUGCUAUCUCACAGAUGAUGAAGAAAUUAAGUACACAACUUAGUGGUUGGGAUUGGACAUGGAGCACCUUAAACACUUUUUGCUGGGUAAUAAGAUCUGUAUCUGGGUCCGUGAUGGAGGAACAGAUGCUGAAGAAAUUAAGUAAGCAACUAAGUGGUGAGGAUUGUACAUGGAACACCUUAAACACUUUGUGCUGGGCAAUAAGAUCAAUAUCUGGGUCCAUGAUGGAGGAACGGGUAUGCAAUUCUUUUGAGUUUGAUUAUGCUUCUCUCCCAAGUUGCUUAUCUGCUUCCUAGAAUAAUAUAAAAUGGCUUUUUAGUUGCCUAAGAUUGUCCCAGUUCGCUCUUAAUUGAGUCUUAGAGUCAAGAUGUUAUCCCAGCUGGUGUAUUUCUAAUAUUCGUAUAUGAAGCUAAAAUGAGAAGCCCAGACAAGUGUGCAUGGCACAUUGUUGAGCAUGUUUGGUGGUGGUGGUUCCAUCAUACAUGAUUGUUAUUCUUUGUUUCUUUCUGAACUACUUAAUGGCAUUUUUUUCCCUGUUUCAUUGGCUUUCUGGAUACUUGAAAGAUGAUAAGGGGAGGUGAUCCAAAAUCCAUUUUUAUAGAAAAUGGAUUUAGGGAAUUUGAACUCAGAAUCUUACUUCCGUUGGCUGGGCGGCCUAUGGUUCACCAUCCCAUUUCUGCUUGUAAAAGAGUGAGCUUCUUUGCUUCCCAUUACUUUUGUGUAUAUGUAAUAACAGAUAGAUAGUUAUACAUUUUUGAAUCUCUUGCUUCUUAUACAGACAUAGUUCUAAGGUUGAAAAAGGUACAAAAGGUAAAUGUAGCCAAACAAUCAGGAUGAGAAUAAAACAUUACCAGCUGGAAAUAGAUGUUUCUUUUUUGAAUUCGCAAUCUCAAAAAAGUGAAAAAAAUAAUCUCUUAACUGCUAAGUUAAGGUGUGAUUGCUAAAAAAGUUGUUUGAUUCUCCUUUUAAAAAAAAAAGUAUUCUCAUUCAUUUAGUAUUUUUAAAACCUAUAUCGUAGUAAUACUAGUUAUAAAGUUUUUUUUUUAAAAUGUACUUGGUUUUUUCCUUCCUUCUUUUCUUUUUUGGGGUUUGCUUCGGAAAAAGUAUUUUGUUGGUAUCAUGUCUCCACUUCAUAAUUUAACUAGUGUAAUACCCUGCGCUAUGCUCAAUAUAGUUGUUCACCAGUUUCACAUCAGGCGUUAUAAUUUCUAUUGCUGCUGGUGAGUGUUGUAAUUUUCAGCCGUAGAAUUUUGAUUUUCAUGUAGUGAAAUAGACCCUGUUAACAACAUUAGGUGAGAUGUUCAAAGCUCAUUUUGAUAAAUCCGCUGCUUAAGGUGUUUUUGUUGUAAGAAUAAAGUAUGAAAAUUAGUUAAAAUAUUACAAUGAGUAUUGGUAUCAUCGCAAUGAUAUUGGUACAGUAUUUGCUUCAUUUUUUGAGUGUCACUUAUAUGUACAGAAAAGUUGAAAGCACUUGACAAGAAAAUACCUGCUAUAAGAAUUAGUACUUUCACCAUUUAGUUUAACAAAUAUAGAAAUGAAAUAAAAAACGUGAAAUUAUGUGGAAUAUAAACAUUCAUCGUAAGGAUAUAUCACUCUCAUGGAAGCCAAAAAUUAUUUGAGUUGUGCAUAUAAUUUGCAGAUAUGACUUGGCUUUUAAAAAAAAAAAAACAACGUAUAGUAGGCAUCACAGUAGAAGGAGUCAUCGCGUGUAACAGUUGAGACAAAGCAAUGACUAAGUAGGAAAACAUUUGGGGUAAAUGAUUUAUACAUAAGGAUCAUCAAUAUAAAAUAAUUGAAUUAGAGGGUGAACUCACCUACAACAUUUGUAAAAAACAUACAAAUUGAUACCCUGCCCAAAACUAAGGCCAUUUUAUCCUGAAAACAUGCACAUCCACAU